CACAGAUCAUUAUUAACAUUCUGUAUAUAAUUCAAUUUUAUUUACUCUCCCCUUUUUAUUAUUUUUAUUUUUAUUUUUAGCUGAAAAGACGUAAAGGCAGUCAGCCCAGUGGUGUUUCUGGAGAGGGAUUCCUUCAGAAAUGGAGAAGACAGAAAGCUGCGGAGGCAGAUAUUUGCAGCAGUCUAAAAUAUCAAGCUCAACAACUCACUCAAGAGCCAACCCUCACAAACCUUCCUAAAAACUAAAAGAGCUAUUACUGAGUCUCAGCGAAUCUUGCCAUGAUCAGCUCUUCCCAGAAGAGAAGGAAGACCAAGGAAAUGAUUUGCUCAGGAUGAGAAAUGAAGAUGGCCAUCUUGUGCUCAAACAAACAGAAGUCCUCUGAUGAUCUCAUCAGCCAUAUGAGGGGUUUUGACCAAGUGAUGCUCUUGAAAGGAGUGAAAGAAGAGGAUGUGGUAAAUUGUCUUCAGAGAAAAAGCUUCUCAAAAGGUCUUAAAGCAGCUUGAAGAAUGGUCUGGGAUGUUAGGACUGAGAGAUCCUCUGGCUGAGAACAAGCUACACCACAUCAGUGCUGGAUAUCAACCACAAACUGUUUCCAGACACGAGAGAAGAAGAACACGAUGGGGAGAUGAAACCAGUUUAGAUGUGAUGAUGGGAAUCAUUAUUUUCUGGAACAGUAUCUCAUGUCUUAUAUGUAUCACAUGAUCUGUAUCACAGUUGACUGGAUGGGACUGUGUGACUUUUAAGGACAUUUCAUCACUCAUCUGUGUGAACUUUAUAUAUGAGGUUAAUGUAUUUUUGAUGAUAAUUAUUUUCAUUGAAUCUUAUUUGUCUUGAUGCUACUUUAUCAACUUUAUAGUCUAUGCUUCAAUAAAAUGAAAAUGGUGAAUAUUGUGUUCUGAAGAUUCUUGGUAAAUACAUCAUUUUACUAGGUAGGCUCAUAUG